rnacentral:rRNA from 1 species
UCGAGAAUCUUCGGCAAUGGGCGAAAGCCUGACCGAGCGACGCCGCGUGCGGGAUGAAGGCCUUUGGGUUGUAAACCGCUGUCGGAGGGGAUGAAAUGCCAGGGGGUUCUCCCCCUGGUUUGACAAAUCCUCAGAGGAAGUACGGGCUAAGUUCGUGCCAGCAGCCGCGGUAACACGAACCGUACAAACGUUAUUCGGAAUUACUGGGCUUAAAGGGUGCGUAGGCGGCCCGGUAAGUUGGGUGUGAAAUCCCUCGGCUCAACCGAGGAAUUGCGCUCAAAACUGCCGGGCUAGAGUGAGACAGAGGUGAGCGGAACUUGCGGUGGAGUGGUGAAAUGCGUUGAUAUCGCAAGGAACACCAGUGGCGAAAGCGGCUCACUGGGUCUCUUCUGACGCUGAGGCACGAAAGCUAGGGGAGCGAACG